rnacentral:rRNA from 1 species
UUAAACAUGAGAGUUUGAUCCUGGCUCAGAACGAACGCUUGCGGCGUGCUUAACACAUGCAAGUCGAACGAGAAAGCCCCUUCGGGGGUGAGUAAAGUGGCGCACGGGUGAGUAACGCG